UGCAUGUGUAUCAGUUCAUGCUUUAAUCGAAACAACAUGGCACCACUAAACUAUUAGUAAUGGCCUAAUUUAUAAGUUUUAGUACCAUGCCCUGAUCAUAAUUUAACCAAAACGAGCAGUUUUAUACAUAUAAAAAAAAUCAUCUGACCUUAUUAAAAUUUUAUUGAUGAUCAUCAUAAUAGCAAAGUUAUUUCUAAAUACCACCUAACCGGCUCGGCAUGAGCAGUUUGUAUUAAGUGUUUUCUUACUGAUCCUCCUAUUUCCCGAAACUCAUUUUUAACUACUCGACAUUGUCAAAACUUGAAGCCAAAGCCUACCAGUUCCCGAGUAACGUUUAUCCGUCUUCCACGUUGCAAACAUGCACGUCCGUUAACUCAGUCAACCAGAUUCACGCUUUCGAGCUCUUGGAAACGAACGUCGUUUCUUAAAAGCUUUGUGUACAGUCGAGAAGCGCACCACCGCCUAGAACCUUCUCUCCUUCUCUAUAAAACGAACUCUCUCAUUACCUUCAUAAAUCCUAAACCCUAUUAAUACACACAACACAGACGCCUUCUCCCAACUAAACCUAUCGCCUCUUGACUUCUCAAAAAACCAUGACUACCGCCGCUCUCCUCCGCUCGAUUCGACGCCGUAAAGUCCCUUCCGCUCCUUUGUACAAAUGCGUAAAUCUUCUUCUAUCUUCACGCUAUCUGUAGACGGAACUAAUCUUUGAGGUGAUUACGUGAUCCGAAUCCACUCAACGGUUCUUAUCUUGGUCAUAACUUGAGAAGCUUUUCAAGGGCAUUCAGCUCGAAGCGUGCUGGUAAUGACGUCAUCGGUAUUGACUUGGGUACUACUAACUCAUGUGUUGCAGUCAUGGAGGGGAAGUUGAGAUCAAGAUGUCACACCUCUUUCGCUUGGUAUUGAAACCCUUGAUGGCGUCUUUACAAGAUUGACUGGCCGAAACCAGAGCCGGUCCCAGUAUUUAUGAGACCAGAAGCAAAUAUUAAUAAAAUGGCCUAUAAAUUAGUUGAUUCUAAUAUUUUUUAAAAAGUUAAAGAGGAAGAAUCGAACCUACUUCCUCUUGUCCACAUAAGAGCAUUGCAACCAUUAGUGCUGUAGAGAAUUUUUGUUAAAUUUGUGGCCGCUAAUUAACAUAAUCUCACGGCGGCCGGAAGCACAAGCUUCUUCCGCUUCCGUCCAGGGCCGGCACUGGCCGAAACACAACCAAUCUCACAAAGAAGAGUCAGGUAUGCCUGAAAAGAUUUGUUCUCUUGAUUGAAAAUCACUUGUAAAAAGGAAAAAUUAGUUCUAGUUUAUCACAUAAAAGUAGAUAAAACUAGGGUAGUUUGAAGCUCAUUUAUAGUUAGACCUGUGGCUACUUAGCUAGGCAUGGUCUCCUGAUGGCAAUUGUUCCUACAUGAUUACACUAAGCUAAAGGUUAAGGCACAAUCAUGUGAUAUGCUAGUUGAUGGGUAAGGCGACUGCAUGGGUAUAACUUAAGUAUUACUCUCAUUGCCUAUACUAUAUCUCCCUUCAAUAUUAGGUAAAUACCAAAAUAUUUAUUCUCAACUAUUUACUUAAAAGUUAAAACCAAAGGCUCUGCGUGGGUAUAACUUAAGUAUUACUCUCAUGUUGUCACAUUUCAAUGCAUUUUUUGUACUUAUUAAGUAUUGUGUAACCGAUAAAAUAAUACAUGUUUUUUUAUGA